GACGAACGCUGGCGGCAUGCCUAAUACAUGCAAGUCGAGCGAACAGAUGAAGUGCUUGCACUUCUGACGUUAGCGGCGAACGGGUGAGUAACACGUAAGGAAUCUACCUAUAAGCGGGGGAUAACAUUCGGAAACGGGUGCUAAUACCGCAUAAUAUCUUCUUCCGCAUGGAAGAAGAUUGAAAGACGGCUCUGCUGUCACUUAUAGAUGACCUUGCGGUGCAUUAGUUAGUUGGUGGGGUAACGGCCUACCAAGACGAUGAUGCAUAGCCGACCUGAGAGGGUGAUCGGCCACAUUGGGACUGAGGAACGGCCCAAACUCCUACGGGAGGCAGCAGUAGGGAAUCUUCCGCAAUGGGCGAAAGCCUGACGGAGCAAUGCCGCGUGAGUGAAGAAGGCCUUCGGGUCGUAAAACUCUGUUAUAAGAGAAGAACAAAUUGUAGAGUAACUGCUACAGUCUUGACGGUAUCUUAUCAGAAAGCCACGGCUAACUACGUGCCAGCCGCCGCCGUAA
rnacentral:rRNA from 1 species